GAUGAAGAACGUAGCGAAAUGCGAUAAGUAGUGUGAAUUGCAGAAUUCAGUGAAUCAUCGAAUCUUUGAACGCACAUUGCGCCCUUUGGUAUUCCAAAGGGCAUGCCUGUUCGAGCGUCAUUUGUACCCUCAAGCUUUGCUUGGUGUUGGGCGUCUUGUCUCUAGCUUUGCUGGAGACUCUCCUUAAAGUAAUUGGCAGCCGGCCUACUGGUUUCGGAGCGCAGCACAAGUCGCACUCUCUAUCAGCAAAGGUCUAGCAUCCAUUAAGCCUUUUUUUCAACUUUUGACCUCGGAUCAGGUAGGGAUACCCGCUGAACUUAAGCAUAUCAAUAAGCGGAGGA
rnacentral:misc_RNA from 1 species